rnacentral:lncRNA from 1 species
AAAUUCCUAACGUUUACACCGAAUUGGUUUUUGCACCUUUUUUUAUUUUUCUACUUUUAAAUACCUAACCUUUCGUUUUUGUCUCGAAUUUAUCCGGUGAUCGGUUUUUUCUCAUGCCGGCGCCGGAAUUGACACUGUGGCAGCCGGAAUAGAUGAGGUGGCAGCCGGAAUUGACACCUAAACAUAACUUUUACAUGUGGUAAAAAAAUUGAAAAAAAAAAGAAGAAAAAAAUUUCCAACUCAUCAUCUUCCCAACCUAAUUCACC